GAGCAUGUGGAUUAAGUCGACGCCAAAGCGAAGAACCUUACCUGUGGAAUGACAUCCCUGUGAAUGCAGUGAGAGAUCAGAGAGUGCCUUCGGGAACACAGUGACAGGUGCUGCAUGGCUGUCGCCAGCUCGUCUCGUGAGAUGUCCUGGUAAAGCCCAGCAACGAGCGCAACCCUUAUCGUUAGUUGCCAGCACAUAAUGUUGUGAACUUUAGCGAGACUGCCCGGGUUAACCGGGAGGAAGGCGGGGAUGACGUCAAGCCGUCAUGCCCCUUAUACCCAGGGCUACACACGUGCUACAAUGGUAAAUACAGAGGGCAGCGAGCCGGUGACGGUGAGCGAAUCCCUAAAGUUUAUCUCAGUCCGGAUUGGAGUCUGCAACUCGACUCCAUGAAGGUGGAAUCGCUAGUAAUCGCGGAUCAGCAUGCCGCGGUGAAUAUGUUCCCCGGCCUUGUACACACCGCCCGUCACACCAAGCGAGUUGAUCA
rnacentral:rRNA from 1 species